UUAAAUUGAAGAGUUUGAUCAUGGCUCAGAUUGAACGCUGGCGGCAGGCUUAACACAUGCAAGUCGAACGGUAACGGGUUGAAAGCUUGCUUUCAAUGCUGACGAGUGGCGGACGGGUGAGUAAGGCUUGGGGAUCUGGCUUUUGGAGGGGGAUAACCAUUGGAAACGAUGGCUAAUACCGCAUA
rnacentral:rRNA from 1 species